GAUGAACGCUGGCGGCGUGCCUAAUACAUGCAAGUCGAGCGAACAGACGAGGAGCUUGCUCCUCUGACGUUAGCGGCGGACGGGUGAGUAACACGUGGAUAACCUACCUAUAAGACUGGGAUAACUUCGGGAAACCGGAGCUAAUACCGGAUAAUAUAUUGAACCGCAUGGUUCAAUAGUGAAAGACGGUUUUGCUGUCACUUAUAGAUGGAUCCGCGCCGCAUUAGCUAGUUGGUAAGGUAACGGCUUACCAAGGCAACGAUGCGUAGCCGACCUGAGAGGGUGAUCGGCCACACUGGAACUGAGACACGGUCCAGACUCCUACGGGAGGCAGCAGUAGGGAAUCUUCCGCAAUGGGCGAAAGCCUGACGGAGCAACGCCGCGUGAGUGAUGAAGGUCUUCGGAUCGUAAAACUCUGUUAUUAGGGAAGAACAAAUGUGUAAGUAACUAUGCAUGUCUUGGCGGUACCUAAUCAGAAAGCCACGGCUAACUACGUG
rnacentral:rRNA from 1 species